AUGACAAAGAGCAGCCAGAGUGAGAGCCAGAGGCAUGCUGUUCACUCAGAGCACAAUGGAGUGAUGGAGAGGAGGGGGAAACCAGGCAUCAUGACCUGUAGGCCAGACCCACAUCAGAACGCAGAUGAGAAAUGGGCUUUCACUCCAGAAAAAAAGAGUAGAAGAAGACCUGGUGGAAGGAGAAGUGAUGGGGCUAAAGGCUACAUCCCCAGCAGCGUCAUCAGACCACAGUCAACACACAUGACCAGACAGGGUGCCAAGCCGGUCCAGAACAGGUAUGGAGACACGUGGUCCGAUAGCUCCAGUACUCCCUCCAGUCCCCAGCACGAGGCACAUGAGAGCCUGGAUAAUGAGGACCUGGAGGACGAGAGAGACACUGCUGAGAGUUACUCAGACCACUCCGUCCAGGAGAAGAGGGCGAGUGAUCACAGCAGAGGGGAAGUUGUAGCUACUGUACACGCUGUAGUCCCUGUCCCCCACAGGGAAGAGCCAUCCUACACUGGCAGUACCCUGAGUGUACACCCUCUAUCAAUGACGGUCCAGAAUGGGCGAACCAUGCCAGACAGGACGGUCAUGGUCACUCCACAGCCGGAGGAUGGUUCACCAGCAGAUGGGGCACUGACUGAGACCAGUUCCUCAGGAGUCCAUCCCAAGCCAAGCUCCCCUGGAAGACCCUGAGAGGCAGAGGCACGUGUCUGCCCCCCUGAGCUCACCUCAGCUAGCCAAUGCAGGCUCCAGAAUUCACGUAAUGCCCCAGUGUUAUAGGACCCCUACCAGCCCAGAGAGUAGAAGCACUAACCCCCAUCACCAGCCCCCCAUGAGCGCCAUCAGUGUCAUCCCCCUGACCUUCCACAUGUCCCCCCUGAGGCCAGCAUACUCCAGCACUGACCCAGCCUCCACCGCCACCCUACCCCUAGCAGCCUCUCUCCCUGACCCUAGCACCAGGACCCAAGCCCUGGCUGCGCCCACCAGCCUACCCACCCCUACCUUCGUGACACCCUCCUCAGGGGCCACUGUCACCCCAGCUGCAUUCAGCCAGGUUCAGGCCACUCUGCCCCCAGCCGUCGCCACUCACACCCCCGGCCCCGUGGCCAGCCCAGCCCUGACCCUCAUCCACAGCACGGCCCAGGGAGAUGGUACCUCCUGCAGCAGUUCUGGGGUGGCAGCAGGCCCAGUCCCAGCAAAAGCCCCAGACCCAGCAGCAGGCCCACCAUCUACAGCAACAGCAGAUGAGCUGCAACUCCUGUGGUUGCCGUGGCAGCUGUGGUAAUAGCCACUCUGCCGCCCCCAACCCCAACUUCUCCUUCCCUCCCCAGCUGGGGCGCCAGGUCUUCAGCAAUGCCCACCUCCCUCUCUUCCACCUCCCAUCCAUGUGCAGCACUGAAUAUCCCAGCCACCGCAGCCAGGUCCAACACCAGAGCAACGCCACCACCCAGCUACCUUUCUACCCCCUUGCACCUCACACGGCCACCCCCACCUCCACGCCACUCCCACCACAUGCUGGCCACCCAGGCUGGAUACAACCUGCAGCAGAUGACAGCUGCUCCCUUCAACAGCUUCUACACGCCCAUGUUCUCCUCUUUGGGACUGGGCACGGGCACGAUGAAGAGCAGUGCCAACGUCUCUUGCUAUAACUGUGGACUAAGCGGGCAUUAUGCCCAGGACUGCAAACAGCCCUCCAUGGACACCUGGCAGCAAGGUAAUAUUGGCCAGGCUAGUGGCAGAGAGAGGAGGUGAAGUCUCUCACAGAGAUUCCUCAUCCUUAGUUUCAGCAUAGGAAGGCAAAGCUUUAUUUGGUAACCUGAUUUUUUUACACUGCGUUUUGCACUGUCCGACAUUUUUAUGUCUGAAGCUGGAUUGUCUGAAUGAGCUCUAUUAAAUACCCAGGCCAAGUGUUAAAACAUAUUUUGAUAGGACUGACUCUGAAUCUGAAAGACUAGCAUAGACUAUGGACAUCACAUUUCUUUAGGUUACUUGUUAGGCACGCGACACUGACACACUCCUGUGUGUGUGUGUUUCAGGUGACUUUCGGCUGAAGUACACGGACCCCCACUCCUUUGAAGCAGACCAAACUGACGGACAUGAGAGGGGACCAAGGCAAUGCUUUGUUUCUCACUACAGUAAAGAUUCCAGAAAAUGUUUUCAUGGGUUGAGUUUUUCACCAAUUGUAUUACUUUGCAAAUAUGCUGACUUGUUUCUCAGCAGAGAAUGGAAUCCUGUAUCAUUCUCAGACUUUUCAGAGGACGGUGGUAUUUUGCACUGGAGACAAGUACAAGACAGGCUCACGUUUUCAGACUAGUCUAUUACUUUAAAGAAAGAGACCCACGUCUUUAAAUGGUGUGGUGGUAAACUUGCAUUUAAUAAGGAUUAAUAGAUUGACUGAAGGUCGUUAUAUCCACAUUUCAAAGCAGGUCUUUUUAGUACAUUUCAAUUCUUACAGAAUCUGCCUUUGGUUCAAGUCAUUAUACGUUAGGCUAAGUAGCCUAUAUCACCAAAAGCAUUGUAUGUCUUCAAGUCUCGGUUACCCCUGUCAGUUCUUUCAUAGGUUAGCACUUGUAAUGGGAGGGAAGGUAGAAAAGGUGGUUGGACAAUACCUUAGUGCCUCACAGAGAAAAGAUGGAGAGGGUUUUACAUUUGAGUCAUUUAGCAGACGGCCUUAUCCAGAGCCACAUACAGUUUCUUACUUUUUUGUAUUAUCUCAUAGGUGUUCAAAAUGCAAGAUACAGUUUCAAAGCAGCUCCUAGUUAACCAGCUAAUUUUCAUUUUAUUUAUUUGAGAACAAAAUAUGUGAAGAACCUCACGCUCUUAUUUUUGGGGGAUUGUCAUAAAGCGGGGAAAAGAUGCAUGGUUUAUAAGAUAAAGUAUGUAUGUCAUAAUUAGGUUUUUGACAGAAUAUGCUGAAUGUACCAUAAAUAGCCUGUAUUUGAUUUGUUUUACAAGCUAAUGGUAUUCCAUUUGAGGCAAAUUUUGUACGAAAAAAGUAAGUUUUAUUGCUGUUUGUUACCACUUGAUAUAAUGUGAAGCGUGUAUUAAGUCAAUCAUGUCUCAUUCAUGAUGUUAAUGCUACUGCUGCUUGGUUUGUUUCCUGGGGGCAAAAAUGCACUAAUUUGUGUGUGUGUGUGGGUGGGUCAUGUCCCCAAUGCUCUCAGGCAAUGAGAGGACUCUUGUGGUUGUAUCCCUUGAGCGUCUCUACUCUAGGAAGAGAUUUAUUGAGGUCCAAAUCACCCCCCCCCCCCCACCCCAAACCCCUAGGCACUUGGGUUGAUCCAAAAUCACCCUAGCCACUUCGGAAAUCUGAAUGCAUUGGGAUAGGUUAAAUCAAUGGUGAAAGUUUUACCUGAGCUUGCCUUCUGAUAAGCCAAGUGGAACUCUUGCCAUAUUGCCUUCACCUAUACAAUACUUCCUGAUCUAAGGUUUGAUUUUUGGAUUGGGCUACAGAAUCAAUGGUCCCUUGUCCUACCGCCAUGCAUGUACUGUACCUGUUGAAUGUGUGGCUCCUGCCUGUUUGUGUAGGCUUGUCAAGCUCUUUGUUGCCAGAACGUCUGUGCCAUAUUCCUCCUUUCUCAUGCAGCAAGGAGGUUGUAUUAUGCAUGUAAGUGUAUAUUUGUGCACAGCAGUAAGGGGUUAACUUCACACACAUCCUUUACCUGUAUGAUUGACUACUAUACAGAAUAACUUCUGUAUUAGAAAAUGUAACACGGUUGUUUGUGGGUUUGAAAGCCACUUGUCUUUCACUGUUCGUUGAGGUGGAUUGUUUUGUGUUUUCCACACACAGGCAAAAAAUAUGUAAACUAUUUGAAAUUAUAUUCAGGUAAAAUCACUCAGUUUUAUAAAGUGUGACUUAUCCUCUGUUUUUCUGUAAGCAGCUUUUCGUUUUUUUUAAGCAUUUUGUAUUGGAUUUCAGAGGCCUAGUUGUUGACUUUAUUUGAAUUAAUAUCUUUAUUUUGAUAAAGAACAUUAAAGUUGAGAGGAAAAAUAGACUAUGAAGCUUGGGUUGUAUUUGUUUAACUUUUCUAUAGUUAAAGAUGCUGUGCUGUAGAUUAAGGUAGUGUUACCUCUGAUGCGAUUACUAUAUUACUAAAUGUUAACAUGUAGUUACUGAAAGGGAAGAAUACAAUCGAUCCUUCCUGUGCUAAAUUAAGCUACCAGAAUUUUUGUUCAGUUAAAUUGGUAGCAAUCAAACAGCUAAGUUUAUUUUUUUUAUAUGGCGAGACACCCAUACUAUAAUGAACAAAAAUAAAC
rnacentral:lncRNA from 1 species